rnacentral:rRNA from 1 species
GACGAACGCUGGCGGCGUGCUUAACACAUGCCAGUCGAACGGAAAGGCCCUGCUUUUGUGGGGUGCUCGAGUGGCGAACGGGUGAGUAACACGUGAGUAACCUGCCCUUGACUUUGGGAUAACUUCAGGAAACUGGGGCUAAUACCGGAUAGGAGCUCCUGCUGCAUGGUGGGGGUUGGAAAGUUUCGGCGGUUGGGGAUGGACUCGCGGCUUAUCAGCUUGUUGGUGGGGUAGUGGCUUACCAAGGCUUUGACGGGUAGCCGGCCUGGGAGGGUGACCGGCCACAUUGGGACUGAGAUACGGCCCAGACUCCUACGGGAGGCAGCAGUGGGGAAUAUUGCACAAUGGGCGGAAGCCUGAUGCAGCAACGCCGCGUGCGGGAUGACGGCCUUCGGGUUGUAAACCGCUUUCGCCUGCGACGAAGCGUGAGUGACGGUAAUGGGUAAAGAAGCACCGGCUAACUACGUG